rnacentral:rRNA from 1 species
UAGUCCACGCCGUAAACGAUGGUCACUAGCUGUUCGGAUUUUCGAUCUGAGUGGCUAAGCGAAAGUGAUAAGUGACCCACCUGGGGAGUACGUUCGCAAGAAUGAAACUCAAAGGAAUUGACGGGGGCCCGCACAAGCGGUGGAGCAUGUGGUUUAAUUCGAUGAUACGCGAGGAACCUUACCAGGGCUUAAAUGUAGGUUGACAGGCUGAGAGAUCGGUUUUUCUUCGGACAACUUACAAGGUGCUGCAUGGUUGUCGUCAGCUCGUGCCGUGAGGUGUCAGGUUAAGUCCCGCAACGAGCGCAACCCUUGUCUUUAGUCGCCAUCAUUAAGUUGGGCACUUUAAAGAGACUGCCGGUGACAAACCGGAGGAAGGUAAGGAUGACGUCAAGUCAGCAUGCCCCAUAUGCUCUGGGCUACACACGUGCUACAAUGGCCGUGACAAAGAGUUGCUACUUUGUGAAAACAAGCUAAUCUCAUAAACGCGGCCUCAGUUCGGAUUGCAGG